AGCAGUCGCCGCGGGAACACAGAGGGUGCGAGCGUUAAUCGGAUUUACUGGGCGUAAAGCGUGCGUAGGCGGCUUUUUAAGUCGGAUGUGAAAUCCCUGAGCUUAACUUAGGAAUUGCAUUCGAUACUGGGAAGCUAGAGUAUGGGAGAGGAUGGUAGAAUUCCAGGUGUAGCGGUGAAAUGCGUAGAGAUCUGGAGGAAUACCGAUGGCGAAGGCAGCCAUCUGGCCUAAUACUGACGCUGAGGUACGAAAGCAUGGGGAGCAAACAGGAUUAGAUACCCCUGUAGUCCCUGUCUCUUAUAC
rnacentral:rRNA from 1 species